AUGACAAUCCUCAGUAAGCUCCAAGAGGAGGUGUCAGUGUGCAUGGGAGGAAGGGAGGGAGGGAGGGGGAGGGGGAGGGAGAGGGGGAGGGGAGGGGGAGGGGGGAGGGGGAGGGGGGGGAGGGAGGGGGAGAAGGAGAGGGGGGGAGGGAGGGGGGAGAAGGAGAGGGGGGGAGAAGGAGGGGGGGAGGGAGAAGGAGGGAGAAGGAGGGAGAAGGAGAGGGGGGAGGGAGAAGGAGGGGGGGGGAGGGAGAAGGAGGGAGAAGGAGGGAGAAGGAGGGAGAAGGAGGGAGAAGGAGGGAGAAGGAGGGAGAAGGAGGGAGAGGAGGGAGAAGGAGGGGGAGGAGAGAAGGCGGAGAGGAGGGAGAAGGAGGGAGAGGAGGGAGAAGGAGGGAGAGGAGGGAGAGGAGGGAGAAGGAGGGAGAGGGAGGGAGAAGGAGGGAGAAGGAGGGAGAGGAGGGAGAAGGAGGGAGAGGAGGGAGAAGGAGGGAGAGGAGGGAGAGGAGGGAGAGGAGGGAGAGGGAGGGAGAAGGAGGGAGAGGAGGGAGAAGGAGGGAGAGGAGGAGAGGAUGGGAAGAAGGAGGGGAGAGGGAGGGAGAAGGAGGGAGAGGAGGGAGAAGGAGGGAGGAGGGAGGGAGAAGGAGGGAGAGGAGGGAGAAGGAGGGAGAGGAGGGAGAGGAGGGAGAAGGAGGGAGAGGGAGGGAGAAGGAGGGAGGGAGGGAAGGAGGGAGAGGAGGGAGAAGGAGGGAGAGGAGGGAGAAGGAGGGAGAGGAGGGAGAGGAUGGGAGAAGGAGGGAGAGAGGAGAGAGGGGAGAAGGAGGGAGAGGAGGGAGAGGAGGGAGAGGAGGGAGAGAGGAGAAGGAGGGAGAGGGGGAGAAGGAGGGAGAGGAGGGAGAAGGAGGGAGAGGGGGAGAAGGAGGGAGAGGAGAGGAGGGAGAAGGAGGAGAGGAGGGAGAGGAGGGAGAAGGAGGGAGAGGAGGGAGAAGGAGGGAGAGGAGGGAGAAGGAGGGAGAGGAGGGAGAAGGAGGGAGAAAAAGGGGGGAGGGGGAGGGAGAAAAGGGGGGAGGGGGAGGGAGAAAAGGGGGAGGGAGAGAGAGGGAGGGAGGAAAGGGGGAGGGGGAGGGAGAAAAAGGGGGGAGGGAGGAAAAGGGGGAGGGGGAGGGAGAAAAGGGGGAGGGGGAGGGAGAGGGAGGGAGGAAAAGGGGGAGGGAGAGGGAGGGAGGAAAAGGGGGGAGGGAGAGGGAGGGAGGAAAAGGGGGAGGGAGAGGGAGGGAGGAGGAAGGGGGAGGGAGAGAAGAAUAGGGGAAGAGGGAGGGAGGGAGCCCAGAGGCGCGGAGAGGGAGAGCCUGCCAAGGCGGGGUGGGAGCCAGGGCUGCCCAGCAGGUGUCACCGGCCUGCAGACACCCGGGGCAGCAGGGCCGCUGUGCUCCCAGGGGACCCCGAGGCCCACCCCACAGUCCGCGGUGCCGGUCCCGGCCCCAGGGCUGCUCCCCGCCGCUCCGCUGCGCCCGUCAGAAACCGCCGCCUGGACGGCCCGCGCCGCGCCCCGCCCCGCGGCGUCCCGUGUGUCCCGCGACCGAGGCCGGGCCCGGGCAGGGGCAGGGGCAGGGGCAGGGGCAGGGGGUGGGACGGGUGCGCGGCGGGCCGGGCCUGGAGGGAGCGGCCCACGACCGCGGAUGCCCUCCGGAGCGCCGGCUGCCCGGGACCUGCGCCGCCGCCCCGUCCCCGCCCGGGCCCGGGGCUCCCGCCGCAGCCUGCGGCCCGGCCCGGUGGUGGCGAGGGCGCGGCCAGCACAGCAGCCCCGGAGCCGCGGCCAGCGCCCUGCCUGUCCCCGCGGCCGCCGGGAGGCCCCGCCUGUGCCCCGCCUGUGCCCCGCCCGCCGCCGCGUGGGCACCGCGUGGGCACCGUGUGCUGCCGCGCCCGUGGCCUGCCCGUCGGGGCCGCGGGGGUCCUCCCGGGCCCAGCUGCGCGCGGCCUGUCCCGCUCUGGCCCCGCUGUCCCCGCCACAGGCCCCGCACACGGAGCUGGGGUCGCUCCCAGGCCCGCCGCCGCCGCCGCAGCGCACGGAGUCCCGGGCUCCCGAGCCCCCGACCGCGCCCGAGCCUGGGCGGGGGGCGCAGGGGCUGGCGGCGGGCCCAGGUGCGAGGCCGUGCGACGGGCGGCCGCCCCGGGGCCCAGGCAGCGGGAGGCCCGAGGGAGGCCGCGGUGA
rnacentral:lncRNA from 1 species